UACGUAGGCAGCAAGCGUUGUUCGGAGUUACUGGGCGUAAAGAGGGCGUAGGCGGUGCUCUAAGUUUGGUGUGAAAUCUCCCGGCUUAACUGGGAGGGUGCGCCGAAAACUGGAGUGCUUGAGUAUGGGAGAGGCAAGCGGAAUUCCUGGUGUAGCGGUGAAAUGCGUAGAUAUCAGGAGGAACACCUGUGGUGUAGACAGCUUGCUGGACCAUCACUGACGCUGAGGAACGAAAGCUAGGGUAGCGAACGGG
rnacentral:rRNA from 1 species